rnacentral:rRNA from 1 species
CCUACGGGAGGUAGCAGUGGGGAAUAUUGCACAAUGGGGGAAACCCUGAUGCAGCGACGCCGCGUGAGUGAAGAAGUAUUUCGGUAUGUAAAGCUCUAUCAGCAGGGAAGAGAAUGACGGUACCUGAGUAAGAAGCCCCGGCUAACUACGUGCCAGCAGCCGCGGUAAUACGUAGGGGGCAAGCGUUAUCCGGAUUUACUGGGUGUAAAGGGAGCGGAGACGGCGAAGAAAGUCUGAAGUGAAAGCCCGCGGCUCAACCGCGGAACUGCUUUGGAAACUUUUUUGCUGGAGUACCGGAGAGGUCAGCGGAAUUCCUAGUGUAGCGGUGAAAUGCGUAGAUAUUAGGAGGAACACCAGUGGCGAAGGCGGCUUACUGGACGGUAACUGACGUUGAGGCUCGAAAGCGUGGGGAGCAAACAGGAUUAGAUACCCCAGUAGUC